AUACGGAGGGUGCGAGCGUUAAUCGGAAUUACUGGGCGUAAAGCGUACGUAGGCGGUUGGUUAAGUUAGAUGUGAAAGCCCCGGGCUUAUCCUGGGAACUGCAUUUAAAACUGGCGAACUAGAGUUGAGUAGAGGGGAGUGGAAUUUCAGGUGUAGCGGUGAAAUGCGUAGAGAUCUGAAGGAACACCAGUGGCGAAGGCGACUCCCUGGACUCGAACUGACGCUGAGGUACGAAAGCGUGGGUAGCAAACGGGAUUAGAAACCCCAGUAGUCC
rnacentral:rRNA from 1 species